GCUGCCCUCUCUCCUUGCUCAGUGCUGUGCAAAAAUAAAGUUCCUACUUUCUUCUACCACACCUGGUGUCAGAGAUUGGUUUUCUGAGCAACGGGUGAGUGAACUCACUUCAGGUUCGGUAACAAUUUGGCGACCCAGAUGGGACAAUGUCCCAGGUGGACGUCUCGCCUGUGGCACACCAGCCUCUGGUGAAAGGCCUCUCUUGGAAGCUGUCCUGCAGCUGCCUGAGUCCCUUGUCUCAGGGACAGCCCCAAGCGACUGGCUGCUAGCCAGACGUCAUUGGCCCACGGCGCUUUUGCUUUGGUGAUGGAAGAAACUAGGUUUAGGACUUAAAAAGACGUCUCUUGUAAGUAGCUGGUAGUUUUUGUUUUUGUCUUUGUGUUAACCUUUUCCAACAGGACCGGCCAGAAACAAUGGGUACCUUGGCAGCCCUCGGGGCUCCAUUUGUUUUGAAGUCACUGCGACGCCCUGGGCAAAUUUUGGACACAAUUGGAAACACUGGUUAUAUUACCAAGACUUUGACUGGAACAUCAUAUUUGAAAAAACAUACAGGCUUAAAUAUAACAAGACAGCUUUUGAGGAAUGAAGGUUGACAUUCUGGAAUAAAGCCACUUGGAAAUAUUGGCCUGGUACUGUGUUUAUGGGUUCUGUAACCUG